rnacentral:lncRNA from 1 species
GUCAAGAAAAUAUGAAACACAAGAAAAUUCAUAGUGAUUGACAAUGGUAAGCAGAGGCUCAUGUUGAAGAGUAAGAGGAAAUAAGCCUUUAAGACACUGUAUCUGAGUUCUUAGUUUUAAGCACUGUAGAUAAGUAUGUGCUGGAUCAAGCAAAAUGGCUCACUUCCUUGAAAUAUGGGGAAAUAAAUCUGUGUAAGGAUGGCUGGUCCAGCUGGUUUCCUGCCAAUUCUUGGAUGGGUCAUCCUAGUCCAGAGUAUCAUGGAAAAUUGUUCACACAGCUUGACUGAUUGCUUUAAGGGUUUACACUUGUCUCAACUCAGAAAUCCAAGCUCUCCCAGGACUGUUCUAACGGCAGUUCUAAAAGCCUCUUUGGUGUGUUGGAGGCCAGGUAGAGGUGAAGCUUCGCAGUGCUUGGACGUAUACUCAACCAUACGGAGAAUAUCAGCCUGUAGCAGGUAAAUAAGAGCCCAGCACAGAAGAAAAGGCAGAGCUACAAGAAGACAGUGCCACAUUAUUUUCAUUGGAAUCUAUGUACGCAUCUAUGCCUGAGCCAGAAGAGGUGAAGCAAAGUUGCUGACUUCAGCCUCAAGCCGAUAAGGAGGAAAAGAGCUUGGCAGUUUAAAGAUGCUCAAUGACUGUAGGAAGAAGAUACUGGAUUUUCAAAAUAACAUUUGAUGAAAGCAAUUGCCAUGCAGUGAUGAGAACAGGUUUGGGAGGCUCAAGACCUGGUGUGACAUCCUGACUCCAAUUGGUGUAAGCUGCAUUGCUCUGCUCAAAUGAUUCAAACACUAUAAACUGCAGUUGCACAUUGGUAAUACCUACUUCAUUGGUAUGUAAGAUUUGAAAAUGUUCAUAAACCACCAAGCACUAUGUAAGCAUUAGUUAUUCUUAUUAUGACUUUUUUAUUCCUUCUAUAGGGAAAAGAGUGCUAGAAGUUAUAGCUAGGAAUUCUAGUUACUAUACAAUUCCAUAAACGAUAUUGUGAAAAAGCUUAAAUUCUAAGAUCAAAGAUAAUACUUAUUCAGUAGGGUUUAUAUGUAUGUUUAUAUAUAUAUAUAUAUUUUUACUCAGAGCAAAUAAUAUGGUCAGUAAAAUGGGUGACAAUUGUAAACACAAUGACCAUUAGUGUUGUAAAGUACAUGUCAGCCUAGGAUGUAAAAUAACUUUAUUGAAUAAAACCUUUCUAGCUACAUAAUAUCUAAAGGUUACUGUGUUAAUAUACACACACAAACACACACACAGAAAUAGCACUGAAAAUAAAAUAAAUGAAGAUGCUAUUAAGUUCAAAUGAUGAUGAAAUUGACCCCCAAGUCAUGGGAGUAGGUAAGCAGUAGAGAGCCAGUGGUCUUCUGAAGUCUGUAGCCCUGGGGCCUGACCCAGUCUCAGAUAGUCCCCUCAAUUCAAGAUAAAUUUAAAUGCAAUAGACUAUAAUCCAGGUCUACAUAUUUCCAGAUCAAGCUAUUUUCCCUUCUCCUUGCCAAGUGCAAUAACAAAGUUUGGUUCUGAAAUUCCCCAACGGACUGUUUAGCCUGGCUUUGGGCCCCCACAUAGAGUGUGACAGCAGCCAUGCAGUGAGGGCUUUCACCCCAGGGAAGGUGAUGGUAAGCGUUCAGAAGAUGUGUGCAUGAGGUAAGACAAGUCUUUGCUUCAUAAAGUGUUGUGUGUAUUGUGAGUUGUUUCACUUCUCUUUCUCCCCACAUCAAAUUAUAGUAAGGUCUAAAAGUGAAUAACAAAAAACAGACUUCACAACACAUUUCUAAAUGAUUCCUGGGAGGAAUUCCCACCCAAAUUGAGAAGCUUGGAGUUUUAAGAUGGUUGUUGCUGAGGUCUGACUCUUAAGAGCAAUCUGAGAACCCCUUUCUUUCAUCUGAACUCAGACUAUGCUCUUAGACCUAGAAAAAAAGGGGUUUCAGUGUCCAAAAGCUGAAAGGCUAUGUUGUAGACAUAUAAUGUUUCAUGGACGGCAAAGCACCUGAAGGCUGUGCCUACAUACAGACAAAGCGUGUCCCUAAUUAUAGGUUGAUAGAGGCCAAGAUUUAACUUUCCAAUCCCUCAUUAAAAUAUAAAGGCCUGUGACCUUGCCUACCAGCCAAGGAAUGUGUCUGGUCUUAGGGACAGAAACGACCUAGGAAUGGAGGCUUUUAUGUUCUUGUGGGCAGGAGGUGCAGUAGGAGAAUCAGCUACCAGGGAUGGCCCACAGCACAGUGGAGAUCUCAUGUACAGUGUUGGAAGCAGUGGCAACAGCAUUCAGGCCCUCACUAGAUUAAGUCUGCAGCUUCAUUUGUGCAGUGGUUCUGGCUUAGGAGCCUCUCCUUAUUUUUGUCCUUUGAGCCUGAUUCUCCAAUCUUCCUGGAAAUCUAUGACUCACUCCCUAUCUUUUCAGUAAGGAUUUUUUUUUUUUCUGCCUAAAGAAGCAUUCACUCGGUUGUGGUAUGGAUUGCAUGAUUAUGUCCCCUUCCAACUCAAAAAAAUACCUAUAUGUUGAAACCAUAAUGCUCAAUGGGAUGGUAUUAGAAGGUAGGGCCUUUGGGAGAUGAUUAGAUCAUACAGGUGGAGUCCUUAUAAAUGGGAUUAAUGCCCUUGUAAGGAGAAUUAUAAAGAAAUUGCUUCCUCUUUCUCUGCUCUUAGUCAUAUGAGGAGACAAGGAGAAGAUGUCCAUCUGGAAACCUUCAGGAAGUGGAUCUUCACCAGACACCAGAUCUGCUGGUACUUUGUUCUGGACUUCUCAGUCUCCAGAACUGUGAGAAAUAAGUGUCUGUUGUUUAAGCCAUUCAAUCAAUAGCAUUUUGUCAUAUCAUCCUAAACUGUCUCGUGGUGUUUGUAUUGUUUCAACCUAAAGCCCUGAAUGAUGUGAAUGGUUAACCAUUUAUAAACUACUGAAGUUGACUCAGCACAUUAUCUUGUACAUGGUGGACCA